UACAGAGGUCUCAAGCGUUGUUCGGAUUCAUUGGGCGUAAAGGGUGUGUAGGUGGCGCCGUAAGUCGGGUGUGAAAUUUCGGAGCUUAACUCCGAAACUGCAUUCGAUACUGCGGUGCUUGAGGACUGGAGAGGAGACUGGAAUUCAUGGUGUAGCAGUGAAAUGCGUAGAGAUCAUGAGGAAGACCAGUGGCGAAGGCGGGUCUCUGGACAGUUCCUGACACUGAGACACGAAGGCCAGGGGAGCAAACG
rnacentral:rRNA from 1 species